rnacentral:lncRNA from 1 species
UAAUUAAGCAGCUAAUUAAGGAGUUGUGUAAGGGGCCUUACCUGGGGGGAUGGGCCCAAUGUAGCUCCGCCUCCCUGGAUUUGCAUAAAGCCUUGAUUGACACCUGGGGGGGGGGAUUGAUGGGAUUUGGGGUGUGACCAGCUCAGGCCACGCCCACCCCGAGGCCACGCCCACUCACCAGCACUUCCGGCUCCGCCCCCGAGGCCAAGAUGGCCGAAAGCUCCACCCAGGACUGGCCUGGCCUGAGGGGAGGGACCCAAAAAUUCCAUCAGGAACCCAAAAAAUUCCAUCAGAGACCCCAAAAUUCCAUCAGAGACCCCAAAAUUCCAUCAGGAUCCCAAAAAAUCCUCUCAAGAUCCCAAAAAAUUCCAUCAGGAUCCCAAAAUUCCUUCAGGAUCCCAAAAUUCCAUCAGGAACCCAAAAAAUCCCAUCAGAGACCCCAAAAAAUCCCCUCAGGAUCCCAAAAUCCCCAAAGGAUCCCAAAAAAUCCCAUCAGGAUCCCAAAAAAUUCCAUCAGAGACCCCAAAAUUCCAUCAGGACCCUAAAAUCCCCUCAGGAUCCCAAAAUUCCUUCAGGAUCCCAAAAUCCCAUCAGGAUCCCAAAAAAUCCCAUCAGAGACCCCAAAAUCCCCUCAGGAUCCCAAAAUCCCCUCAGGAUCCCAAAAAUUCCAUCAGGAUCCCCAAAUUCCAUCAGGAUCCCAAAAAAUUCCAUCAGGAACCCAAAAUUCCAUCAGAGACCCCAAAAAUUCCAUCAGGAUCCCAAAAAAUUCCAUCAGAGACCCCAAAAUUCCAUCAGAGACCCCAAAAAAUUCCAUCAGGAUCCCAAAAAAUUCCAUCAGGAUCCCAAAAAAUCCCAUCAGGAUCCCCAAAAUUCCAUCAGGAUCCCAAAAAAUUCCAUCAGAGACCCCAAAAUUCCAUCAGAGACCCCAAAAAUUCCAUCAAAGACCCCAAAAUUCCAUCAGAAACCCCAAAAUUCCAUCAGAGACCCCAAAAUUCCAUCAGGAUCCCAAAAAAUUCCAUCAGGAUCCCCAAAAUUCCAUCAGGAACCCAAAAAUUCCAUCAGAGACCCCAAAAAAUUCCAUCAGAGACCCCAAAAUUCCAUCAGGAACCCAAAAAAUUCCAUCAGGAUCCCAAAAUUCCAUCAGGAUCCCAAAAUUCCAUCAGAGACCCAAAAAUUCCAUCAGGAUCCCAAAAAAUUCCAUCAGGAUCCGAAAAAAUUCCAUCAGAGACCCCAAAAUUCCAUCACGAUCCCAAAAAAUCUCUUCAGGAUCCCCCAAAAUUCCAUCAGAGACACCAAAAAAUUCCAUCAGGAUCCCAAAAAAUUCCAUCAGAAACCCCAAAAUCCCAUCAAAAUCCCAAAAUCCCCUCAGGAUCCCAAAAAAUCCCAUCAGGAUCCCAAAAAAUCCCCUCAGGACCCCCCAAAAUCCCCUCAGGAUCCCCAAAAAUUCCAUCAGGAUCCCCAAAAUCCCCUCAGGAUCCCCAAAAAUCCCCUCAGGAUCCCCCCCCCAAAAUCCCCUCAGGAUCCCAAAAUCCCCUCAGGAUCCCCAAAAUUUUCACCAGAGACCCCAAAAUCCCCUCCCCACCUUCCAAAUUCCUCCCCAAAAAAUCCCCCAAACCCCAAAAUUCCUCCUCUAGGACCCCCCAGAUCCAUCCCAGGAUCCCAAAAUUCCCAAACUUUCCCCCAAAUUCCCAAAUUCCCCCCAAGCUCCGCCCACUUGCCCAUAUAAGGAAGUCCCAGUUAAGCCCCGCCCCCGUUUACCUUUGCUGGGGGGGCUUUAGCGCCCCCUGCUGGACGCGGCUCAGCCAAUCAGAGCCCGGCUCCGCCCCCAGCAGCCGAAGCUCCGCCCCCCGCCGAAGCUCCGCCCACCGGCGGCUCUGCCCCACCCCCAGCGAGGACUCUGGGGGGGGAGGGGAGGUCACAGACCCCGAAAUUGGGGUGGGGACCCCAAAAUUUGGGGUUUGGGGGCUCAGGGGAUCCCAAAAUUGGGGUUUGGGGGCUCAGGGGAUCCCAAAUUUGGGGUUUGAGGGGCAGAGGGACCCCAAAAAUGGAUGUGGGGACCCCAAAAAUGAGG